GACGAACGCUGGCGGCGUGCUUAACACAUGCAAGUCGAACGGAAAGGCCCUGCUGUUGGGGGGUGCUCGAGUGGCGAACGGGUGAGUAACACGUGAGUAAGCUGCCCUUGACUUUGGGAUAACUUCAGGAAACUGGGGCUAAUACCGGAUAGGAGCUCAUGCUGCAUGGUGGGGGUUGGAAAGUUUCGGCGGUUGGGGAUGGACUCGCGGCUUAUCAGCUUGUUGGUGGGGUAGUGGCUUACCAAGGCUUUGACGGGUAGCCGGCCUGAGAGGGUGACCGGCCACAUUGGGACUGAGAUACGGCCCAGACUCCUACGGGAGGCAGCAGUGGGGAAUAUUGCACAAUGGGCGGAAGCCUGAUGCAGCAACGCCGCGUGCGGGAUGACGGCCUUCGGGUUGUAAACCGCUUUCGCCUGUGACGAAGCGUGAGUGACGGUAAUGGGUAAAGAAGCACCGGCUAACUACGUGCCAGCAGCCGCAGUAAUAC
rnacentral:rRNA from 1 species